GGGUGACUUAAUGUCAAAUGUUGCAAUAGCAAAUAAUAGUGCAGAUGGUGUGCAGAUUGCCAUGUCAGGAUGUUAUGCAGGUCCUAUGUUCAACACCCUUGCUGGUUUAGGCAUCUCCAUGCUCCUUGGAGCCUUGUCGAGUAGGCCAGAACCUUUUAUCCUUCCAAGAGAUGAUAGCUUGUAUUACACAAUGGGAUUUCUAAUGUUGGCACUUGUUUGGGCACUCAUUGUGCUACCUCGGAACGAUAUGCGGCCUAGCAAGUCAUUGGGAUUGGGACUUAUGACCAUAUAUGUAGUAUUUCUAUCAAGC
rnacentral:misc_RNA from 1 species